GUGCCCUUAGGCAAGUCACUUCACUUCUCUGAGCCUUGGUUACCUCAUCUGAAAAGAGGGGAGUAAGACUGUGAGCCCCAAGUGGGACAGGGACCGUGUCCAACCCGAUUUGCUGAUGUCUGCCCUUAGUAUGGUGCUUGGCACACAGUAAGUGCUUAACCAAUACCACAAUUAUUAUUAUAAGCCUUGUACUUUUGCAGUUUAAAGGUCUACCAAGCUCUGGGCCCAGGAACCAACUCCUUUUGAACCUCCAGGACUUGCUGACCUAGCUGAACUGCUUUCCAACCAUGGUUUUCAGCCAGAUGGACUGAUCCCAUCGCCUGACAGAUAGCCAUACUUCAAGGAACCUGGUUCUCCAUCUACUUCCGACUCCCUCCUGCCAACGUCUCCGCCUUCCAGAUCUACCCACGGCUCCACUGGGACAGGUAUUCCCGAACCACCCGGGCUAGCUAGCUCCCAAACUGGAGUUACCAGGUUUGCGGUUAGGGCAUUUGGUUGCGGCUUCUGCAGCUUGGCUUCACCCUCCCUCUGUUUCUGCAGAGAGGAAAGGCUUCCGGCACUCAAAUUCAAGAUAGUAGAGCAGCCCUUCCUGAAUAAAGAGGGACAAGGCCAUGAAGCAGCAUGGCCUAGUGGCAAGAGUACGGAUUUGGGAACUGGAGGACCUGGAUUCCGAUCCUGCCUCUAAUCCUGGCUUGGAUGCUGGGUGCCCUGGGGCAAGUCAUUUUAACUUCCCUAAGCCUCAGUUUCCUCAUUUAUAAAACAGGGAUUUAGCAACCAUUCCCCCUUCCCUUUAGGAUGUGAGCCCCAUGUGGGACAGAGAUUGGGCCCAACUUGAUUACCUUGUGUCUAUUCCAGUGCUUUGGCAUAUAGUAAGUACCCAACAAAUACCACAAAUGUUAUUAUUAAACAAGGGACAAUCCUACGUGUCCUAGAUGUUUGACAGCUCUAUCCAACGCAAAUUUCAAAAACAACAGAAACAUUCCCACGACCACCUCUCAAGUUUUCGGAAUGUUCUUUCUGCAUCCGCUCUCCCAGAACAGGUUCGUCCACCUUAAGGAUUUGGAAUCUGCUCCACUGUGGCCAUGCUUUUCAUUCAUAUGACUCUUGCUGACUUACAUCCUCUUGGGUUAGUUAGAUGGUGCCUUUCUAAACAGUCAUUUUUCUCUCUCGUUGGGCGACUGGACCCAUAGAAGCAGACUUGACUGCAGGGUGUGGGGAGGUGGAGGCUGUUCUAGUGUCCAGGCUCUCGAGGCUGUUCUAGUGUCCAAGGUCUCCCUCUGCUCCUGGCUUCAAUUCCUCUCCCUCAAAGUAAUCAAUCAAUCAAUCAUUCAAUCUAUCAAUAAAUGGUAUUUAUUGACCACUUACUGUAUGCAGAACACGGUACUAAAAACUUGGGAGAGUACCAUAUAACAGAGUUGGUAGACAAGUUCCCUGCUCACAACGAGCUUACGGCCUAGAGGGAAUGGUCUGCUGUGUGACCUUGGGCAAUUCACUUCACUUCUCUAUGCCACAGUUACCUCAUCUGUAAAACGGGAAUUUUUUUUCAAUCAUAUUUAUUGAGCGCUUACUAUGUGCAGAGCACUGUACUAAGUGCUUGGAGUGUACAAUUCAGCAACAGAAAGAGGCUAUCCCUGCCCAAUAAUGGGGUCAUAGUCUAACGGGGGAGAGAGACAGCAAAACAAAACAGAACAAAACAAGUAGUCUGGCGUAAGUAUCAAGAUAAAUAGAAUCAUAGAUAUAUACACAUCAUUAACAAAAUAGAGUAAUAAAUUGAGACUGUGAGCCCCACAUGGAACAGGGACAGUGUCCAUUCCACUUUGCUUGUAUCUGCCCCAGCGCUUAGUACAGUGCCUGACACAUAGUAAGUGCUUAACAAAUACCGCAUUUAUUAUUAAUGGUAUGUAUU
rnacentral:lncRNA from 1 species